ACACGCAUGACACACUGCAUAUCAAUAAGCGGAGGAAAAGAAACUAACAAGGAUUCCCUUAGUAACGGCGAGUGAAGCGGGAAGAGCUCAAAUUUGAAAUCUUCAAGGUUCUACCUUGACGAAUUGUAGUUUAUAGAAGUGUUUUCUGUUAGUGGAGUGGCAAAAGUUCUUUGGAAUAGGACAUCAUAGAGGGUGAGAAUCCCGUAUUUGGUCAUUCCUCCUAGCGUUGUGAUACACUUUCAACGAGUCGGAUUGUUUGGGAAUGCAGUCCAAAAUGGGUGGUAAAUUUCAUCUAAAGCUAAAUAUUGGCGAGAGACCGAUAGCGAACAAGUACCGUGAGGGAAAGAUGAAAAGAACUUUGAAAAGAGAGUUAAACAGUACGUGAAAUUGUCAAAAGGGAAGCGUUUGACACCAGUGUUGUUUUUCCGAAAAUCAAUUACGAAUGUUUUAGUUUUUGAGGAGUUAUGACUUCAUCGGCUUGCUCCUUUCUUUAUGAAACUUUCUUAAUGCACUUUUCGGUUAACAAGUCAACAUCAAUUUCUUUUGUUGUAAAAGGGUAUGAGGAAGGUGGCUUUCUUUUCGGAGAAAGUGUUUAUAGCCUUGUGCCUCUGCAAUCGGAGAGAUUGAGGUCUGCAGCGUAGAUCCUUCGGGGUUAGAUACGUUUGUGCUAAGUUAUAGCUUUUCAUAGACAACUUGUUGACUAUGUUUAGUCUUGUAGCUUACUCGCUAGACGCUAUUUUACCUACGCUUAGGAUGUUGAAGACUCUACAGAGAU
rnacentral:rRNA from 1 species